rnacentral:rRNA from 1 species
UACGUAGGGGGCUAGCGUUGUCCGGAAUCAUUGGGCGUAAAGAGCGUGUAGGCGGUCCGGUAAGUCCGCUGUGAAAGUCGGGGGCUCAACCCUCGAAUGCCGGUGGAUACUGUCGGGCUAGAGUGCGGAAGAGGCGAGUGGAAUUCCUGGUGUAGCGGUGAAAUGCGCAGAUAUCAGGAGGAACACCUAUUGCGAAGGCAGCUCGCUGGGACGUAACUGACGCUGAGACGCGAAAGCCAGGGGAGCAAACGGG